rnacentral:lncRNA from 1 species
AAUAUGUUAUAUGUCUCAUAUACUGUAUUCUUAACAUGCCAGAGAAAAGAAAAAGACAAUCAUAAGGAAAAUAUAUUUACUAGUUAUUAAAUGGAAGUAGAUGAUCCAACAGGUCUUCAUCCUCAUCCUUUUCAUGGGCAGGGUGUGGAGAAGGAUGUAGAAUUGUUGGUUUUUCUAAGUGGACGUGCACAGUUCAAACCCCUGUGGUGCAAAGGCCAACUGUAUAGCCAUUGAAUAGCAAUUUAUUUUUAGAAAUUAAUCCCACUAAAAUACUCUUAGAAGGAUGCCAAGAAAAAAUAUGAAUAAGUAUUUUUGGUUCAUCUAUUUCAUCAUUUCAUUUCCUCAUUUCACUUCCUUUCAUUUCAUUUCAUCCUUUCAUCAUUUCAUUAUUUCAUCUCAACAUUUCAUUUCAUUAUUUCACUUCAUUUCAUUAUUUCAUCUCAACAUUUCAUUUGACUUCAUCAUUUCAGUUCAUCUCAUCAUUUCAUCUCAUGACUUCAUUUCAUCUCAUGAUUUCAUCUCAUGAUUUCAUCUUUUCAUCUCAUCAUUUCAUUUCAAAUUUUCAUCUCAUUUCAUCUCAUCAUUUCAAUUCAUUUCAAUUAUUUCAUCAUUUCAUUUCAUCAUUUCAACAUUUGACUUCAUUUCAUCAUUUCAUCAUUACAUAUCAUUUCAUCAUUUCAUUUCAUCAUUACAUUUCAUCAUUUCAUCAUUUCAUUUCCUCAUUUCAUCCUUUCAUUUCAUCCUUUCAUUUCAUUUCAUCUCAUCAUUGCAUUUCGUCAUUUCAUCAUUUCACUUCAUCUCAUCAUUUCAUCAUUUCAUCUCAUGAUUUCAUCUCCUCAUUUCAUCUUUUCAUCUCAUUUCAUCUUUUCAUCUCAUUUCAUUUCAUAUUUCAGCAAUUCAUCAUUUCAUUUCAUUUAUUUCAUCAUUUCAUCAUUUAUUUCAUAAUUUCAUCAUUUGACUUCAUUUCAUUUCAAUUCAUAUUUCAUCAUUUCAUUUUUUCAUUUCACUUCAUCAUUUCAUUUCAUCAUUUCAUCAUUUCAUCUCAUCGUUUGCAUUUCAUCAUUUCAUUUCAUCUCAUGAUUUCAUCUCAUCAUUUCAUCUUUUCAUCUUAUUUCAUCUCGUCAUUUCAUUUGAUCAUUUCAUCUAUUCACCAUUUCAUCAUUUCAUUAUUUCAUCAUUUAAUCAUUUCACUUCAUCAUUUGAUUUCAUCAUUUCAUGUCAUUUCUUCAUCAUUU